rnacentral:sRNA from 1 species
AGUGGCUCCGGGCGCGCUCACACACACGCGCCCUCACCCGCCACCGCCGCCGCGGCCGCCGCCGCACCCGGACAGCGAGCGGCUGAGGCCGCCAGGGCCCAAAGGAGAGCGGCCCAGGGGCUGGCGGCCCGGCCGGCCCCGGCUCACCGACUCGGGCAGCAUCCACCUGCCCCAGCCAACACCCUUCUCUCGCCCCAGGUCCUUCUCAGCCUCCAGCUGGGCUGUCCCCAAGCUGAGCUGAGGCUCUUCUCCUCCGAUCCCCACCUCUGCCCGGACAUCCACCAUGGGGACAGCCACCAGGAGGAAGCCACACCUGCUGCUGGUAGCUGCUGUGGCCCUUGUCUCCUCUUCAGCUUGGAGUUCAGCCCUGGGAUCCCAAACCACCUUCGGGCCUGUCUUUGAAGACCAGCCCCUCAGUGUGCUAUUCCCAGAGGAGUCCACGGAGGAGCAGGUGUUGCUGGCAUGCCGCGCCCGGGCCAGCCCUCCAGCCACCUAUCGGUGGAAGAUGAAUGGUACCGAGAUGAAGCUGGAGCCAGGUUCCCGUCACCAGCUGGUGGGGGGCAACCUGGUCAUCAUGAACCCCACCAAGGCACAGGAUGCCGGGGUCUACCAGUGCCUGGCCUCCAACCCAGUGGGCACCGUCGUCAGCAGGGAGGCCAUCCUCCGCUUUGGCUGUGAGACCCGCGGGGAACCAAGACACUUUGGGGGAGGGGGAGGGGGGCUAGGAGAAAUUACUGAGAAAGGAUAAGUGACACCCUCAAGCCGGGCCUUCCUGACCUCACAUGACAUGCCUUAGUGAACUGCUGCUUCUCCGUGAAGGAUGAGUCGGGGAGGGGCUCGCAGGCCAGGAGGACAGUGCCUGAGCCCCUGGUCUCUGCCUCCAGUUCUGCAGGAAUUCUCCAAGGAGGAGCGAGACCCAGUGAAAACUCAUGAAGGCUGGGGGGUGAUGUUGCCCUGUAACCCACCUGCCCACUACCCAGGUGAGUCCAGACCUGGGGCCAGGGUUAGAAAGGGCACAGGAAGGGCUUCCAGAUGCUUGGCAGAGGAAGGAUGGAAUAAAAGGAGACCCCUGGAAAUGACCCUUAGAAGCACCCAUCCCUGGGACCCUAACUUUAAAUGAUCUGUGUUUCCUUUAUAGGUCUGUCAUUUUCCAUCGUUGUGCCCUGCUUCCGCCUUCAAACUGGGUGGCCCCUGAGGGCUGCGAUCCCUGGCAGACUUAGCGCUCCCUGAGGGCAGGAAUAAAGUCGCUUCUUCCCUCUAGGUCUCCCCUUAGCCCCAGUUCAGAGCAUGGUGGCUGUCAGGACAGGGCUUGCAGAACCGCACCAGCAUGCUGGGGUCCCACCCAGAGUGGCCCUGUUAGCCCAGCACCCCCUGGUUUCCUCAAACUCCUCACAUCCUAGGCUUGUCCUACCGCUGGCUCCUCAACGAGUUCCCCAACUUCAUCCCGACGGACGGGCGUCACUUCGUGUCCCAGACCACAGGGAACCUGUACAUUGCCCGAACCAAUGCCUCAGACCUGGGCAACUACUCCUGUUUGGCCACCAGCCACAUGGACUUCUCCACCAAGAGCGUCUUCAGCAAGUUUGCUCAGCUCAACCUGGCUGCUGAAGAUACCCGGCUCUUUGCACCCAGCAUCAAGGCCCGGUUCCCAGCAGAGACCUAUGCACUGGUGGGGCAGCAGGUCACCCUGGAGUGCUUCGCCUUUGGGAACCCUGUCCCCCGGAUCAAGUGGCGCAAAGUGGACGGCUCCCUGUCCCCGCAGUGGACCACAGCUGAGCCCACUCUGCAGAUCCCCAGCGUCAGCUUUGAGGAUGAGGGCACCUACGAGUGUGAGGCGGAGAACUCCAAGGGCCGAGACACCGUGCAGGGCCGCAUCAUCGUGCAGGCUCAGCCUGAGUGGCUAAAAGUGAUCUCGGACACAGAGGCUGACAUUGGCUCCAACCUGCGUUGGGGCUGUGCAGCCGCCGGCAAGCCCCGGCCUACAGUGCGCUGGCUGCGGAACGGGGAGCCUCUGGCCUCCCAGAACCGGGUGGAGGUGUUGGCCGGGGACCUGCGGUUCUCCAAGCUGAGCCUGGAGGACUCGGGCAUGUACCAGUGUGUGGCAGAGAAUAAGCAUGGUACCAUCUACGCCAGCGCCGAGCUAGCCGUGCAAGCACUCGCCCCUGACUUCAGGCUGAAUCCCGUGAGGCGUCUGAUCCCCGCGGCCCGCGGGGGAGAGAUCGUUAUCCCCUGCCAGCCCCGGGCAGCUCCAAAGGCCGUGGUGCUCUGGAGCAAAGGCACGGAGAUUUUGGUCAACAGCAGCAGAGUGACUGUAACUCCAGAUGGCACCUUGAUCAUAAGAAACAUCAGCCGGUCAGAUGAAGGCAAAUACACCUGCUUUGCUGAGAACUUCAUGGGCAAAGCCAACAGCACUGGAAUCCUAUCUGUGCGAGAUGCAACCAAAAUCACUCUAGCCCCCUCAAGUGCCGACAUCAACUUGGGUGACAACCUGACCCUACAGUGCCAUGCCUCCCACGACCCCACCAUGGACCUCACCUUCACCUGGACCCUGGACGACUUCCCCAUCGACUUUGAUAAGCCUGGAGGGCACUACCGGAGAACUAAUGUGAAGGAGACCAUUGGGGAUCUGACCAUCCUGAAUGCCCAGCUGCGCCAUGGGGGGAAGUACACAUGCAUGGCCCAGACGGUGGUGGACAGCGCGUCCAAGGAGGCCACAGUCCUGGUCCGAGGUCCGCCAGGUCCCCCAGGAGGUGUGGUGGUGAGGGACAUUGGCGACACCACCAUCCAGCUCAGCUGGAGCCGUGGCUUCGACAACCACAGCCCCAUCGCUAAGUACACCCUGCAAGCUCGCACUCCACCUGCAGGGAAGUGGAAGCAGGUUCGGACCAAUCCUGCAAACAUCGAGGGCAAUGCCGAGACUGCACAGGUGCUGGGCCUCACCCCCUGGAUGGACUAUGAGUUCCGGGUCAUAGCCAGCAACAUUCUGGGCACUGGGGAGCCUAGUGGGCCCUCCAGCAAAAUCCGGACCAGGGAAGCAGCCCCCUCGGUGGCACCCUCAGGACUCAGCGGAGGAGGUGGAGCCCCCGGAGAGCUCAUCGUCAACUGGACGCCCAUGUCACGGGAGUACCAGAACGGAGACGGCUUCGGCUACCUGCUGUCCUUCCGCAGGCAGGGCAGCACUCACUGGCAGACCGCCCGGGUGCCUGGCGCCGAUGCCCAGUACUUUGUCUACAGCAACGAGAGCGUCCGGCCCUACACGCCCUUUGAGGUCAAGAUCCGCAGCUACAACCGCCGCGGGGAUGGGCCCGAGAGCCUCACUGCACUCGUGUACUCAGCUGAGGAAGAGCCCAGGGUGGCCCCUACCAAGGUGUGGGCCAAAGGGGUCUCAUCCUCAGAGAUGAACGUGACCUGGGAACCCGUGCAGCAGGACAUGAAUGGUAUCCUCCUGGGGUAUGAGGUGAGCACCAACCUGGGGCUUGGGAGAGGAAGGGGUGCUGGGGCUUCAAAGCCAGGUGGGAACAACUCACAGACCACUAAUCAUUCCUCCUGGCGUCCCUGGUUCGCUGACAUGGCAAACUGAGCAUCCAGUCUAUGUAGCACUGUGAAUGCAAAUUUCACUAAGACCCCAUGGCAGGCCAGGCGCGGUGGCUCAUGCCUGUAAUCCCAUCACUUUGGGAGGCUGAGGCGGUAGAUCUCCUGAGAUCAGGAGUUUGAGACCAGCCUGGCC